rnacentral:misc_RNA from 1 species
UACGGAGGGGACUAGCGUUGUUCGGAAUCACUGGGCGUAAAGCGCACGUAGGCGGAUUGGCCAGUCAGGGGUGAAAGCCCGGGGCUCAACCCCGGAAUUGCCCUUGAUACUGCCAGUCUUGAGACCGGGAGAGGAGAGUGGAAUUCCCAGUGUAGAGGUGAAAUUCGUAGAUAUUGGGAAGACCACCAGUGGCGAAGGCGGCUCUCUGGCCCGGUUCUGACGCUGAGGUACGAAAGCGUGGGGAGCAAACAGG